rnacentral:rRNA from 1 species
CUACGGGACGCACCAGUGGGGAAUAUUGGACAAUGGGGGAAACCCUGAUCCAGCAAUGCCGCGUGUGUGAAGAAGGCCUGCGGGUUGUAAAGCACUUUCGGUUGGGAGGACUGCUUCUAGCACUAAUAUUGUUGGAAGUUGACGUUACCUUCAGAAGAAGCACCGACUAACUCCGUGCCAGCAGCCGCGGUAAUACGGAGAGGUGCAAGCGUUAAUCGGAAUUACUGGGCGUAAAGCGCGCGUAGGCGGCUAGAUCAGUCGGGUGUGAAAGCCCCGGGCUUAACCUGGGAACUGCAUCCGAUACUGUCUAGCAUGAGUACAGGAGAGGAGAGUGGAAUUCCACAUGUAGCGGUGAAAUGCGUAGAUAUGUGGAGGAACACCAAUGGCGAAGGCAGCUCUCUGGCCUGAUACUGACGCUGAGGUGCGAAAGCGUGGGGAGCAAACAGGAUUAGAUACCCGCGUAGUC